rnacentral:lncRNA from 1 species
UGAAAAACACUAAUUAAAAUGGCUUCUUUUUCCCUAUCCUUUCUAGUGUUGUUCCUUGCAUCUCUCAUUCUCAUCCCUCAAGGGUUUGCUACUCGUGUUAACCCUACUGAAUAUACACGACCUACUCCUGUUUUACCACCACGUCGUGGCAGGCCACCACCAACCCCCACCCCGGUGUUACCUCCAAGAAUUUACAGGCCACCGCAUAUCCCUCCUGUGUACACACCACCAAGUGAGAAGCCUUGAUUCAUGACGUCCAUUUAAGAAAUGAGGCUUAACCACCAACCCCCACCCCGGUGUUACCUCCAAGAAUUUACAGGCCACCGCAUAUCCCUCCUGUGUACACACCACCAAGUGAGAAGCCUUGAUUCAUGACGUCCAUUUAAGAAAUGAGGCUUAUGAUCUACUAUAUAUCUAUUGAAUAAGUGGUUUUACU